rnacentral:rRNA from 1 species
AUUGAACGCUGGCGGCACGCCUAACACAUGCAAGUCGAGCGGCAGCAUGAGUAGUAGCAAUACUACUUGAUGGCGAGCGGCGGACGGGUGAGGAACACGUAGGGAUCUGCCUUAAAGAGGGGGAUAACCAGAGGAAACUUUGGCUAAUACCGCAUGAACUCGAGAGAGAAAAGCUGCCCGCAAGGGUGGCGCUUUAAGAGGAGCCUGCGUCCGAUUAGCUAGUUGGUGAGGUAACUGCUCACCAAGGCGAUGAUCGGUAACUGGUCUGAGAGGACGACCAGUCACACUGGGACUGAGACACGGCCCAGACUCCUACGGGAGGCAGCAGUGGGGAAUCUUGGGCAAUGGGGGCAACCCUGAUCCAGCGAUGCCGCGUGGGUGAAGAAGGCCUUCGGGUUGUAAAGCCCUUUAGGUUGGGAAGAAGGUUGGUAGUUUAAGAGAUAAUCAACUUGACGGUACCAACAGAAUAAGCACCGGCAAACUCUGUGCCAGCAGCCGCGGUAACAC